CAUCUAAACAACUGUGAAACUGCCACACAAGGCUUUCCUCAAGAUACCUGCCAGGAAAAAAAUAAACCUUCAUAUUAAAGGGACUGUUUGUAACUGUAACUUCUUACACGUACAAAUCAUUGCGAGUCGGUGUCCCAUGCGCGCUCGCGUGUGGCUACGCUGUUCAGACUCAGACUCCAACACAAACUACACGGAAGCACCAAAAAGUUCUAUCUAGUGAAGCCCGUCUGUUAAACAGUGUUGGUCGCAUUUGGAGGACGCGGGGGAGAUCGUAGCUUUGAUCUCCAGGUCCGGAGUCUCUGCUGUACUCUGCUCCUCUGCCUGCCUUCACUCACACACCGCGCUCGUUCACGCUCUUUCGCUCCAGAGUGGAAGAGGACACGUCUGAA